rnacentral:rRNA from 1 species
AAUAGAUACCCAGGUAGUCCACGCCGUAAACGAUGAGUGCUAAGUGUUAGAGGGUUUCCGCCCUUUAGUGCUGAAGUUAACGCAUUAAGCACUCCGCCUGGGGAGUACGGCCGCAAGGCUGAAACUCAAAGGAAUUGACGGGGGCCCGCACAAGCGGUGGAGCAUGUGGUUUAAUUCGAAGCAACGCGAAGAACCUUACCAGGUCUUGACAUCCUCUGACAACCCUAGAGAUAGGGCCUCUCCUUCGGGAGCAGAGUGACAGGUGGUGCAUGGUUGUCGUCAGCUCGUGUCGUGAGAUGUUGGGUUAAGUCCCGCAACGAGCGCAACCCUUGAUCUUAGUUGCCAUCAUUAAGUUGGGCACUCUAAGGUGACUGCCGGUGACAAACCGGAGGAAGGUGGGGAUGACGUCAAAUCAUCAUGCCCCUUAUGACCUGGGCUACACACGUGCUACAAUGGACGGUACAAAGAGCUGCAAGACCGCGAGGUGGAGCUAAUCUCAUAAAACCCGUUCUCAGUUCGGA